rnacentral:rRNA from 1 species
AUACGUAGGGAGCGAGCGUUGUCCGGAAUUACUGGGUGUAAAGGGAGCGUAGGCGGGAGUGCAAGUCAGAUGUGAAAUACAUGGGCUCAACCCAUGGGCUGCAUUUGAAACUGCAUUUCUUGAGUGAAGCAGGGGUACGCGGAAUUCCUGGAGUAGCGGUGAAAUGCGUACAGAUUAGGAGGAAAACCAGUGGCGAAGGCGGCCUGAUGGAGCACAACAGACGACGAGGCGCGAAAGCGUGGUGGGUAGACAUGAAGAUAGACACUGUACGACCACGCUGUAAGCGAGGAAGAGGAGGUGUGGGGGGAGUGACCCCCUCCGUGCCGCAGUCAACGCAAUAAGUAUUCCUCCUGGGGAGUACGAUCGCAAGCUUGAAACUCAAAUGAAUUGGCUGGG